AACGAACGCUGGCGGCGCGCCUAAUACAUGCAAGUCGAGCGAGAAGACGUAGCAAUACGUUUGUAAAGCGGCGAACGGGUGAGGAAUACAUGGGUAACCUACCCUCGAGUGGGGAAUAACUAGCCGAAAGGUUAGCUAAUACCGCGUACGCUCCUCGGACUUCGGUUCAGGGAGGAAAGCGAUACCGUGGGUAUCGCGCUCUUGGAUGGGCUCAUGUCCUAUCAGCUUGUUGGUGAGGUAACGGCUCACCAAGGCUUCGACGGGUAGCUGGUCUGAGAGGACGAUCAGCCACACUGGCACUGCGACACGGGCCAGACUCCUACGGGAGGCAGCAGUAAGGAAUAUUGCGCAAUGGGCGAAAGCCUGACGCAGCGACGCCGCGUGGGGGAUGAAGGUCUUCGGAUUGUAAACCCCUUUCGGGAGGGAAGAUGGAACGAGCAAUCGUUCGGACGGUACCUCCAGAA
rnacentral:rRNA from 1 species